GCACUCUUGGUUUAGUGGUAAAAUCAGCGCUUCCCAUUCCAUGAACAGAUGGUUCCUUAGAGGUCUGCGCUGGCCCCGGGUUCGAUUCCCGGAGGGUGCA